rnacentral:rRNA from 1 species
AGUAACGACGUGGGUUACCUACCUCUAAGUUGGGGAUAACACGUUGGAAACGACUGAUAAUACCGAAUGUGCUCUACGGAGUAAAGGAGCCCUUAAAGCUCCGCUUAGUGAUGGGCCUGGCGGCGUAUUAGCUUGUUGGUGGGUAACGGCCUACCAAGGCGACGAUGCGUAGCCGAACUGAGAGGUUGAUCGGCCACACUGGGACUGAGACACGGCCCAGACUCCUACGGGAGACAGCAGUUAGGAAUAUUCGUCAAUGGGGGAAACCCUGAACGAGCAAUGCCGCGUGAACGAAUGACGGCCCUAUGGGUUGUAAAGUUCUGUUGUUUGGAAAGAACUGGUAAGAAUAGGAAAUGAUUCUUACUUGACGGUACCAUUCAAGAAAGCCACGGCUAACUACGUGCCAGCAGCCGC